rnacentral:tRNA from 1 species
GCCUGGGUGACUCAGUGGGUUAAGCGUCUGACUUUGGCUCAGGUCAUGAUCUCACGGUUCGUGGGUUCGAGCCCCGCAUCAGGCU